rnacentral:rRNA from 1 species
CCUACGGGAGGCAGCAGUGGGGAAUAUUGCGCAAUGGGCGAAAGCCUGACGCAGCGACGCCGCGUGAGGGAUGAAGGUCUUCGGAUCGUAAACCUCUGUCAGCAGGGAAGAACGGUCACUGUGCUAAUGAGCAGUGAAUUGACGGUACCUGCAAAGGAAGCACCGGCUAACUCCGUGCCAGCAGCCGCGGUAAGACGGAGGGUGCGGGCGUUAAGCGGAAUUAGUGGGCGUAAAGCGCUCGUAGGCGGUAUGGUAAGUCAAGGGUGAAAGCCCCGCGCUCAACGUGGGAACUGCCGUUGAAACUGGCAAACUGGAGUGUGUGAGAGGAUAGUGGAAUUCCAGGUGUAGGAGUGAAAUCCGUAGAUAUCUGGAGGAACAUCAGUGGCGAAGGCGACUAUCUGGCACAUAACUGACGCUGAGGAGCGAAAGCGUGGGUAGCAAACAGGAUUAGAUACCCGGGUAGUC